rnacentral:rRNA from 1 species
UACGUAGGGUGCAAGCGUUAAUAGGAAUUACUGGGCGUAAAGCGUGCGCAGGCGGUUAUGCAAGACAGAUGUGAAAUCCCCGGGCUCAACCUGGGAACUGCAUUUGUGACUGCAUGGCUAGAGUACGGUAGAGGGGGAUGGAAUUCCGCGUGUAGCAGUGAAAUGCGUAGAUAUGCGGAGGAACACCGAUGGCGAAGGCAAUCCCCUGGACCUGUACUGACGCUCAUGCACGAAAGCGUGGGGAGCAAACAGG